CCUACGGGGGGCUGCAGUGGGGAAUCUUGCACAAUGGGGGAAACCCUGAUGCAGCGACGCCGCGUGAGUGAAGAAGUAUUUCGGUACGUAAAGCUCUAUCAGCAGGGCAGAAAAUGACGGUACCUGACUCAGAAGCCCCGGCUAACUACGUGCCAGCAGCCGCGGUAAUACGUAGGGGGCAAGCGUUAUCCGGAUUUACUGGGUGUAAAGGGCGCGUAGACGGCAGCGCAAGUCUGGAGUGAAAUCCCAUGGCUUAACCAUGGAACUGCUGUGGAAACUGUGCAGCUGGAGUGCAGGAGAGGUAAGCGGAAUGCGUGGUGUAUCGGUGAAAUGCAUAGAUAUCACGCAGAACCCCGAUGGCGAAGGCAGCAUACCGGUGCACAACUGACGCUCAGGCACGAAAGCGUGGGUAUCGAACAGGAUUAGAUACCCCAGUAGUC
rnacentral:rRNA from 1 species